AGAGUUUGAUCCUGGCUCAGAACGAACGCUGGCGGCAGGCUUAACACAUGCAAGUCGAGCGCCCAGCAAUGGGAGCGGCGGACGGGUGAGUAACACGUGGGAACAUGCCCUUCGGUACGGAACAACUCAGGGAAACUUGAGCUAAUACCGCAUACGCCCUAACGGGGAAGGAUUUAUCGCCGAAGGAUUGGCCCGCGCCUGAUUAGCUUGUUGGUGAGGUAACGGCUCACCAAGGCUUCGAUCAGUAGCUGGUUUGAGAGAGCGACCAGCCACACUGGGACUGAGACACGGCCCAGACUCCUACGGGAGGCAGCAGUGGGGAAUCUUGGACAAUGGGGGAAACCCUGAUCCAGCCAUGCCGCGUGAGUGAUGAAGGCCCUAGGGUUGUAAAACUCUUUCGGCGGGGACGAUAAUGACGGUACCCGCAGAAGAAGCUCCGGCUAACUUCGUGCCAGCAGCCGCGGUAAUACGAAGGGGGCUAGCGUUGUUCGGAAUUACUGGGCGUAAAGCGUGCGCAGGCGGCUCAUCCAGUCAGAGGUGAAAGCCCAGGGCUCAACCCUGGAAUUGCCUUUGAAACUAGUGGGCUCGAGUGCGGGAGAGGUGAGUGGAAUUCCCAGUAUAGAGGUGAAAUUCGUAGAUAUUGGGAAGAACACCGGUGGCGAAGGCGGCUCACUGGCCCGUUUCUGACGCUCAUGCACGACAGCGUGGGGAUCAAACAGGAUUAGAUACCCUGGUAGUCCACGCCGUAAACGAUGGACGCUAGCCGUUGGCCAGCUUGCUGGUCAGUGGCGCAGCUAACGCAUUAAGCGUCCCGCCUGGGA
rnacentral:rRNA from 1 species